ACAUUACUAGCAGAGAAUUUUAAAAAAAAUUCUGUAAGAAUAUGAAAAUAAAUGUCUUUUAAGAUGAAUAAGACAUGGCACAAUUCUAAAUAAUGUAUCACUAUUGUUAUAAGCUUGGAUAUUAUUGCCCUUUUCUCCCAAAGAAGCCGUAUAUAUUGCAGAUACAAAAGGGUUUUGUGUUUAGUGUUGGUUUUUUUUUAAAACAUUAUGCCAAGUUGCUGUUUUCAAACACAUGUUGAUGCUGGGAAGAAAUGGGCAUGUAUCCAUCUUGCCUUCAGGCCAAACCAUUUAACCAGAACUGGGAAUACUGACAAACUUUCUCAACCCUUCUCUCUCUCUCUCUCUCCAAUGCAAUUGUAUAAAGCAGCCCUUUUCAGAGGUCUCUAUGAAAAUGACCACUAUAAAUAUCACACUCUGUGCUUCUGUUUAUCAAGUGGAAAAUUAUUUUUAACAUACUUCUAGAGAAAGGUAACAGGUAAUAGCUAACGUUCUCACACCCAUUUUAAAGGAGGAUGUGUCAGUCUAUAAAUCAAUAGCUGGCUCGAAGCCAUUUGCUUCUGAAUGGAAACCAACUAUUUUUGCAGAGCUCUGCUCACAGCAGCUGAGCAUCAAUGCUUAGUAAUGUGUAGCUAUUAGGGAAAAACUGAGCAUGACUACACAAAUCAUAGAGCCCCUGAUGAAGAUCUCUGCACAUGGCUGCUUCUUCUAAUCACCAGCAGAAUUUAAUGAGACACCUGCAGUUUAUAAACAUUCUUGUUCCAACAUAAAUUGCCCUGAGAGCACAAAGCCUUCUUUUAAAAAAUAUUCUUCAGUAACCCAUAAACCACAAAGAGUUCAUUGUCACUAAUAACAUACUCCUCAUUAAGUUAUAAUGGUAUGAAACAAUAGUCCCUCAUACAUAGCAGAUCUGAAGAUUAAGUUGGAGGGUGUUAAGAUCUCCUAAUUAGUAGUUUUGUACUAUUUAGGUUUUCAUUAAUAACACAGGGCUGGAGACCUUGAAAUUGACCCCUUACAAGGCUGCAAAAACAGUAAUUCUUCAUAAAUCUGACCCAUAUGAGGCAAGGGAGAGGACUGAAUGCAUCCCAUGGUUCUCUAAGUAGGAACAAGCUCAGGCAGGUUGAGAUUCCUCCUCUGCUUGAAGCUGCAAGGGCAUUCAGCUGUGGCCACAGAUGCUCCUGCCUUGCCUUCAUCCUUCCACUGUAGUGAGAGGGCAGCUUGGACUGCCAAAAAACCAUCAAGGCAGCUCAUCAGAAUGCCAGAAAGGAUAAAGGUUAAGUAUACCUUGUCAUAAUUUAUCAGAUCUGCAGAGAGGAGGCAAUAACCCCCCUUGUUUUCUAAUCACCAACGCAUUCUUUGCUGCUUGGCGCAGGAAACAGAGAACGGUGUCUGCUGAAAGUGAGAACAAACCUGGCUCCUCUGAAUCAGUGGGCUCAGAGAGCAAGCAAGGGCUUGUUGCUGAGAGUUAGGGAUAUUGUCAUCCACCAAGUCAGCAGCUGGAAAUUGCUGGCAUGAAUUGCUGAAUUUCUGGGACACCUUGGGGCUUUAUUGUCUUGAGCCAGAACUUGGAGUGGCCACAGCACAGAAGCCUAUCAAACUCUCUUCAGUGGGUGCACAGGCUUCCCAGGAAUUCUGCUACAAGCUGUUUUGCUACCACUGACAACAGCAUUUUGACUUUUUAACAUCACAGAUGAAUACUGAAGGAUCUUUGGUGUAAUUUUGUGGCAAAUAUUUGAGAGUUACUAAAAGACUUUCCUUGGAAGGCCCCUCAGAAAUUACUUGUCAAGCAUGAAGACAAUCAAAUCCUGGCAGCAUUUGCAUUUGAUGUCCAUCCAGAUCAACUUACUGAGUAAUAGAAUUAUCUCAGUCUGACAUUUGAGGUCACCAAGAGGAUUUCUGGGCCAAAGAUGUGAGCAGACCGUAUCUCAGUCGGGCUCCUUGAUGUCUCAUCAGGACAAAAACAGCUUCUCUCUUCUGUGAGGAGUUUUCACCUACAGAUGUCUAUUGUUACAUGUGGGCCCAUGAUUUUCUUGGCAACUUUUCAAACCUGGGCUUUUUCAAGAUUAUUUCCAUGCUCACAGAAUAGUUGGAUGUUUGGAAUUUGGCAGACUUGAAGAAAAAGAUCUGCAAAAGGGAAUUCAGGGUUCAGAAAGUCACACUCAUGUUAUCAGUAUUUUAAUUUGCCCCAAAAUCGGGCUUAAAUCCAGAAGGAAUCAUUAAAUACUGUAAUCUUCUGUAGAUCACAGGCUUUCAUACAGUUACCCUUUGUUGAGCCCCAAAAUUUUUUGUUUGAUUAGUCAUUUCUUCCAUGUGAGAUUUGAUUGUUGAUUUGAAGACAUCCAGACAUGGAAAGCCCUUCACUUCUCUUCCUGGUUUGUUCCAGUGGCUAAUCACUCUCACUUGUUUCUCAAUUAAGUCUGCCUGAUGCUGGUUUCCAGCCACUUUUUUUUCCAAUGUCUUUCUCGUGAUGUAAGACAGCUUUGGGUAAGGCAGGGUCAGGCACUGGCACGCUAUGUUCGCUCAAGCAAAAUGCUCCGCAAGAAUGCUUGUUGGCAUUUUUAAUUAAAAAACUAUUUGCCUACUUAUUUAAAUGAAUUGAAAUUUAAAAAAUCCACAGCAAAUUGGUGUUUUAUACAGCAUUUUAAAAGGCAUUGAGUGCUCUAUAAGCAUAUGGUUUUAUUUUAAUGUUUCUCUAGGCAGCUAUUAUUGAGAACUGACAAAAUAAAAAAAACUAUGUAUUUGUUCUUCUGCUUUGUAUAAUAAACAACUGCAUUCUUUUCUA